rnacentral:rRNA from 1 species
ACUCAAAUGAAUUGACGGGGAGGCGCACAAGCAGUGGAGCAUGUGGUUUAAUUCGAGACAAAGCGAAAAACCUCACCUGGGUUUGACAUGUAGAUGCUAAUCCCGUGAAAGCGGGACUCCUUCGAGGGUUCUACACAGAUGCUGCAUGGCUGUCGUCAGUUCGUGGCGUGAGCUGUACCCUUAAGUGGGACAACGAACGCAACCUGCACCGUAUGUUAAAUAAUUCAUAUGGAACUGCCCGAGUUAUACUCGGGAGGAAGGCGCAGAUGAUGUCAAGUCCGCACGGCUCUUACACCCAGGGCUACACACAUCCUACAAUGGCGAAUAACAACGAGCUGCAAGCGGGUAACCGCAAGCUAAUCUCUAAAAUUUCGCCCCAGUUCAGAUCGGGGGCUGCAACUUGCCCCCGUGAAGUCGGAAUUGCUAGUAAUCGCGAAUCAGCAGGUCGCGGUGAAUACGUUCUCGCCUCUUGUACACACCGCCCGU